GUGAGGGCAUUGGAUUUGGCCUCAGUUGUCGAAGGCUUGGCCGACGUAGUAGAUGAUCUGGCUACUCUAGCAGUAUUCGAAAGGAGAACGUCUAACUCGGUUUCCCAUAAAGGCUGCACAUGAAAAGGUUUUGAUAGGAGCAUAUUUAUGUGACUUAGUUAGCUUGUUUUCUUGCAUUAAUGUUAUUAGUUCAUAAUUAUUUUAGUAUUUUAAGCUAUUUCGUGUGUUUGUAGGUCCAAAAGGCUAAAGUAGCAAGAAAGUGCAUUUUGAAGCUUUUUGGAGCAGUUUUGGGCUUGGAAUGAAUAUCACAUGCAUGGAGCAAGGUGGAUGGAUGAAUUUGAAGACCAAAAGAGGCUAGGAUUAUGCUGAAGUUAUGAAGAAAUUAAUUCAAGAAAAGGAAGUAAAGGAUGCAAGCAAGAAAGAAGGAAUGUUAGCCAAAGUUACCUUAUUUUGUCCUAAACUUUCCUAAUCCUUCACCAUUUAAUUUCCAGUUGCAAGGAGGAUCUUUAAUUAAAUUAGGAGACUUAAUUAGACCUAAUUACAUUCCUAAAAUCUCCUUUCCUCUUCCUUGCCGCACAAGCCCUUUCCUUUUCCCUUUCCCCUUUGCCGCAUAUUCCAUUCCUUUUCCCUCUAGGAUCUUGCCGCACCCUACAUCCCCUUUUCCUCUUGGGAUUCUGACUUGUUACCAUUUUCUUGGAGGAUUUGGAGUAUUAAAUCCUUCCCAAUUUAAUUCCCAACCAUGUUUUUCCU
rnacentral:lncRNA from 1 species